rnacentral:rRNA from 1 species
CCUAAACGGCCGCGGAACCCAAACCGUGCAAAGGUAGCACAAUCACUUGUCCCCUAAAUGAGGACCCGUAUGAAAGGCAGCACGAGAGAAAACCUGUCUCCUAAGGUUAGCCAGUGAAAUUGAACUGCCAGUACAAAAGCUGGCAUUAAAAAGCAAGACGAAAAGACCCUGUGGAACUUAAAAAAAUUAUUUACAAAACUAAAUAAUAAUUUUAGUUGGGACAACUAUAGAAAAAUUUAACCUCUAUUAUACACCGAGACCUACAAGUCUAACCCCCGACCCAGUCACACUGAUUAAUGAAAUAAGCUACCCCAGGGAUAACAGCGCCACCUUCUCGAAAAGUCCAUAUUAACAAGAAGAUCUACGACCUCGAUGUUGGAUCAGGAUACCCAGACGGUGCAACUACUGUCAAAGGUUCGUUUGUUCAACGACUAAUAUCC